UUAUUGACCACGCCGGAGCUAGAUCAACCUGAUCACGAAGGAUCAAUCCUUGCAUGCAACCGAAGAACAAGCAAGAAUUAUAGAUGCAAUCAAGAUAUUGCGAAUAAAGGUGAAGCUUUAUUGAUGGGAUUCUGCAAGCGCGUAGUACAGAAGGUUGAUUUGACACUUGUGCCUAUGGCGAAGAGUAGCGAAUAGCUAAGUCUCAAACUAAACAAAAUCCGAGUCUAAACGAAGACCUAACGGGGGUAUAUAUGGAGGACUAGAGGG
rnacentral:lncRNA from 1 species